ACUGUGUUGCCAUGCAAUCGUCUCUUCAAUCUGGAUAAUUGGAAAAAGUGGUGCAUUUGUGUUUAACAAAGCUAGUGUUUAACAACAUGUGCUUUACUACCCAUUUCACUGGUCAGCUAGGCCAUAAACUGAGAAGAAUAAAAAUGCAGGAAUAUGGAGUACACUGCUACUAUGCUUGCAUAUGAAUGGAUGAAGAGGCAAUCUUGGAGAGCCUUGGAGUAAAGCUGCUGCUCCAUAGUAUUGAAAAGGAGCCAGACGACAUGGUUCAGGGCGCUUAAAAGGAUGCCCCUGGUCAGCUCCAUCCCUAGAGCUGUAUUAGGCAUGUCCAACUGGACAGACACCGCAAUACAGACCCAGGACCAACAGGAUUCAACGUCUACCUCCAUCAGGGGACUGAGGAAAGCUCCUAAAUGAAGAACAGGAACUUGCUAUUGUCAACAUAUUGAUUGUUGACAAUGAAAUAAAACUGAAGGACAUACAGUUCAGAGUUGUAGAGGACAACCUUGUCUUUGGGAACAUUGCAGCAAUCAGCAUAACAUCCAUUUCUCGGACUCUAGCUAAACACAGAGUCCGAAUGAAACAACUGUAUAAAAGUUCCUUUUGAAAGGAAUGCUGAGGUCAUCAAAGAACUCAGUCGCCAAGACGUCCAGAGAAUCAUGGAGUUGGAGGUCAAUGUCCCACAGCAAAUGAUCUAUUUUGACGAGGAUGGCUUCAACUUGUGGAAAAAGCGUUGGUGCGUAAAAAACAUAAUUGGCAAAAGGGCUACAGUUACCAUGCCGGGCCAGAGAGGAGCCAACAUCACCACGUGUGCCGCAUAAAUGUGAGACUGGCCCCUUCUCCAGUUUUUAGAAGACCUGUAUGAAAGACAGGUGACAGAGGCAGAAAGGGGACAAGUGGGAGACCACUUGCCAAUAUAUAUGACCACAUGGGACAACGUGGCAUUCCACCAUUCCCAUGCAGUCACAGCCUGGUUUGAUGCCCAUCCGAGGAUGAUGUCCCUUUUCCUUGCCCCUUACUACCUUUUCCUCAACCCCAUUGAGGAGUUGUUCUCAGCCUGGAGAUGGAAGGUUUUUGACCAUCGUCCACAAUACCAAAUGUCCCUCCUGGAUGAAAUGGAUGCUGCAUGCCAAGACAUCACAGCUGAACACUGCCAGGGGUGGAGAAGGCAUGCCAAGAGAUUCUUCCCAAGAUGCCUUGCCAGAGAUGAUAUCAGGUGUGAUGUAGAUGAGAACAUGUGGCCAAAUGCAGAAGACCGGGUAGAUUAGAAGAUGACAUUUUUAUUAUUAUUAUUCUACUGUGGCUUUUUCUGUUUGUAUAUUUUGUAUUUUUGCGUAAUAAAUGGAAGCUAUAUUGCAUAUUUAUGUUAUCUUGCAGUAAUGUCCUGUUGCAAAUAGAGCCUUUACUGCAACAAUUCUGUCUCGGUCUUCUUUUUUUUUUCUCCCCAUAAACCGUACAUUCUAUAAAGCUAGUCUGAGAUUGGUCAAUUCAUGUUUUGCAUUGAAUUUAUGCAGCAAAAGAAACAAAAUGCAUGCAUUUGCUAAACCCGACAAAACAAAAAUGUAGAGAGGCUUCAAAAGAAACUGCAGUGCAAAGCACAAUCUAUGAUCAAUACAAUAAACUGUCUAUUGUAUAAGGGCAGACCUGACGCAUAUAAAAUAAUGCAGUAUCUGUAAUUCCAUCUAAUGUUAGUGCUUUUAUGACAUUGUGCUAUGAUUGACUAAAUUUUCCUGUUGGAAGAGAACAUGUGUUAGUGUUUUGGGAGAAUUAUUUGAUUUUGAGACAUGUUUGCAGUGUUUUGGUAGACAUAGUGUAUUGUGUUAGUGUAUUAUUGUUUUUUGAAAAUUACUGUUUGAGUUUAGUUUACAAUGUGUGGAUUUUUAGCAUGUAAUGAACCGUUUUGCCAAUUGUGUGUUGGUGUGUUAAGAGUUUAGGAAAAUUGUUAAAAGUAUUUUUUUUAAAAAUUGUCGAUCAUAAAAAAUUGUCUGCAAAUAUA